ACCGUGGAAACCAAACAGUAAAUAGAGGACUGGCCGGCUCCUGGUGCUGUCUGCAGGAGCGAGCUGACCUGGAGCAAAGGGCCGGAAGCUGGGAAGGGUUAGGUGACACCUUGGCCUUGGCAGAGCAGGGUGAGGGCAUCGGGAGAGUGCGGAGAGGGAGGGUGCAGGGACGCCGAGACCCCUGGGAGGAGCUUGGGAAGCCGGCAGAGAGGAGCUUUUCUACCCAUCGAAGCUUUCUUCGGCUUGCAAGGUUGUAGAGGACUUGGUUUUCCUUACCAGCCGCUGAGCAUGCAGUCGUUGGGGACACUUUACCCUGGGCUCAGAUUCCAGGGCCGCCACUCCAGGUGGAUAAUGAAGUACAGGCCACAGUCUUCCUGUGCCCUAGACUAUCAUCUAUAAAGUAAGCAUAAUAGCGAGGCCUACCUUAGAGGGUACCUGUGACUAUUUUGUAUAUAUAUGACGUAGUCUCGCGUAUCUCAUGUGGAUCAGGCCUUCACUAUGUAGCUGAGAAAAGGGCCUUUCGCUUCUGAUCCAUUUGCUUCCUUUUCCCAAGUGGUGACAUGACAGGUAACGAAUCACCACCAUACCCUGUACAAGCAAACCGCCCUGGCGCUCAGACCCAGCACUUCUUUAAUGUUAGGCGAGCAUUCUAGCCACAAAAGCACAGCCCCAGCCCUGCGACUAUUUUUAAUAAAAAUCUAUAUUAAUUUUUA
rnacentral:lncRNA from 1 species